GGACUACUAGGGUUUCUAAUCCUGUUUGCUACCCACGCUUUCGUGUCUCAGCGUCAGUUGCGGUCCAGAGAGCCGUCUACACCACAGGUAUUCCUCCUGAUAUCUACGCAUUUCACCGCUACACCAGGAAUUCUACUCUCCCAUCCCGCACUCUAGCCCCCCAGUCUUCGGCGCACCCUCCCGGUUGAGCCGGGAGAUUUCACACCAAACUUAGAAGGCCGCCUACACACCCUUUACGCCCAGUAACUCCGAACAACGCUUGCUGCCUACGUAUUACCGCGGCUGCUGGCAC
rnacentral:rRNA from 1 species